rnacentral:rRNA from 1 species
GACAGAGGGUGCAAACGUUGUUCGGAAUUACUGGGCGUAAAGCGCGUGUAGGCGGCUCGGAAAGUCGGAUGUGAAAGCCCUGGGCUUAACCUAGGAAGUGCAUUCGAAACUCCCGAGCUUGAGUUCUGGAGAGGAAGGCGGAAUUCUCGGUGUAGAGGUGAAAUUCGUAGAUAUCGAGAGGAACACCGGUGGCGAAGGCGGCCUUCUGGACAGCAACUGACGCUGAGACGCGAAAGCGUGGGGAGCAAACAGG